rnacentral:rRNA from 1 species
UACGUAGGGUGCGAGCGUUAAUCGGAAUUAUUGGGCGUAAAGCGUCCGUAGAUGGUUUUGUCAGUCUGCUGUCAAAGCACAGGGCUUAACCCUGUAAAGGCAGUGGAAACUACAAGACUAGAGUGCAGUAGGGGCAGAGGGAAUUCCCAGUGUAGCGGUGAAAUGCGUAGAGAUUGGGAAGAACAUCCGUGGCGAAAGCGCUCUGCUGGACUGCAACUGACAUUGAGGGACGAAAGCUAGGGGAGCGAAUGGG